rnacentral:rRNA from 1 species
UACGAAGGGGGGCUAGCGUUGCUCGGAAUCACUGGGCGUAAAGGGUGCGUAGGCGGGUUUUUAAGUCAGGGGGUGAAAUCCUGGAGCUCAACUCCAGAACUGCCUUUGAUACUGAAGAUCUUGAGGCUGGAAGAGGUUAGUGGAAUUCCCCAGUGUAGAGGUGAAAUUCGUAGAUAUUGGGAAGAACACCAGUGGCGAAGGCGGCUAACUGGUCCAGAUCUGACGCUGAGGAGCGAAAGCGUGGGGAGCGAACAGG